GCAAGUGACAAUUAAGCUGCAUCUGGUGGCAGGCUUUAAGUGCGAAUCCAACAGUUAUUUUAGCCCACGUGUGACCUGCCCCCUAUUUUAUUUACCACUUCCAUCUGUGCCUCUUUUCCACACUGUGCACUUGUCUCUGUCAGUUUCAGUAAGUCCUCAUGCUAACAAUAGGCAAAAUGAUAAAAACAAAAAACAACAAAUGUUGCUGGAGAGCUUCUUUGAAAAGGGGGAAAGACUCAAUGAUGAGACAGUGGAAGACUCUAAGACUGCCAACAAAAAGAAAGCUGCACUUAAAAGAAAAUACCAAGAGUCCUACUUAAAUUAUGGGCUCAUUGCAACAGGUGAUUCACAUUCUCCAAGCCCACUUUGUAUAACACAUGGUGACCAGGUAUCCAACUAAGCCAUGAAAACUUCAAAACUGCCUCACUGCAUGAAGACCAAGCAUCCUCCAUUAAAAGACAAACCUUUGGAGUUUUUCAAAAGAAAAAAAAAUGUGAACACAAAGAACAGAAGCAAUUUUUGAAGGCCACCACCUCACCAAAUGUGUCUGCACUAGGACCAUAAUUCUUAGUGGCUAACCACAAAGCUAAGAAGCCCCAUACCGUUGGUGGAGUUGAUCCUGCCUGCUGUGAAGGACAUUUGUCGUGAACUUUUAGGAGACGCUGCAGUUCAAAAGGUGGCACGUGUUCCUCUUUCAGCUAGCACCAUAACUAGACGAACUGAUGAAACAGCAGAGGAUAUCGAGGCACAAUUGUUAGAGAGGACUAAUGAGUCACUGUGGUACGCAAUCCAGGUUGACAAGAAGAGCAACGAUGCUUCCUUU